UGUCACGCCCUCCAACUAGCAGGAGUGACCAUUGAGGGCUGCGUGCUCAUGGCAUCGCCGCCGUAUUGACCCCUGACUCAUGACCCCUGACCUUGACCCGUACACCUACACUCUACUUCGAGUCACGGGCCCGCUCGGACGCUGCCUCUUCCCGGGAGCCACCCUCCAGGGCCCCCACCUUGCCGGGUCUACCCGCUAUUUCUGCACAAGCCGGCCACUUUAACCCCCGUCCACAACAACCUCCCAUAAUAAAGACUGUAACCAGACAGUAAGAUCAAGGAACGUUGUUGGCGUGUGGGCAGUGCAAGAGUCAGCGCUGGUGAGGUGGCAGUCGGGGAUCGUAUUAGCAUGACGAGUGUGUUGGGUACGUGUUGUCGGGGCUCUGGCGUGAUCCGGCCGAGCAUCGCGGCGGCGCUGAUUUGUCC